GCCUCCGUGGCGCAAUCGGCUAGCGCGUUCGGCUGUUCACCGAAAGGUUGCAGGUUCAAGCCCUCCCGGGGGCG
rnacentral:tRNA from 1 species